rnacentral:rRNA from 1 species
UACGGGGGGGGCAAGCGUUGUUCGGAAUUACUGGGCGUAAAGGGCUCGUAGGUGGCCAACUAAGUCAGACGUGAAAUCCCUCGGCUUAACCGGGGAACUGCGUCUGAUACUGGAUGGCUUGAGUUUGGGAGAGGGACGCGGAAUUCCAGGUGUAGCGGUGAAAUGCGCAGAUAUCAGGAGGAACACCGAUGGCGAAGGCAGCUCGCUGGGACGGUACUGACGCUGAGGCGCGAAAGCGUGGGGAGCAAACAGG